AUCUUCUUGUAGUUUCUAAGUGUGGUGAUUGGGUUUUCACCGUCAUGAGAUGUGUCUCCCUCAAGCCUUGUUAUGGUGUCGGCCCAUUACCUGUCGGACA
rfam:Nomascus leucogenys chromosome 11, whole genome shotgun sequence.